AGUGAACGCUGGCGGUAGGCCUAACACAUGCAAGUCGAACGGCAGCACAGUAAGAGCUUGCCCUUACGGGUGGCGAGUGGCGGACGGGUGAGGAAAACAUCGGAAUCUUCUUUUUCGUGGGGGAUAACGUAGGGAAACUUACGCUCAUACCGCAUACGCCCUACGGGUGAAAGCAGGGGAUCUUCGGACCUUGCGCGAUUGAAUGAGCCGAUGUCGGAUUAGCUAGUUGGCGGGGUAAAGGCCCACCAAGUCGACGAUCCGUAGCUGGUCUGAGAGGAUGAUCAGCCACACUGGAACUGAGACGCGGUCCAGACUCCUACGGUAGGCAGCAGUGGGGAAUAUUGGACAAUGGGCGCAAGCCUGAUCCAGCCAUACCGCGUGGGUGAAGAAGGCCUUCGGGUUGUAAAGCCCUUUUGUUGGGAAAGAAAAGCAGCAGGUUAAUACCCCGCUGUUCUGACGGUACCCAAAGAAUAAGCACCGGCUAACUUCGUG
rnacentral:rRNA from 1 species